UCAGAGACGGAGACAGCGAGUGGGUAGAUGGGGAGUAGCGGAUAGAAGCUGUGCUUGUGAGUCGGCAAUGCAAAGUAGCUCUGAUUAGAAUGAGGAAAGGGGAGGUUCCCAACCUGGGAUGCCCGCAAUCCCAGGGGGCUGCAAGAUGGCAUUUCAAGGGAUAUGACAAACAGGAAGGCUGAGUUGCGAUUUACCAGAAUUGAGUGAGGCACUUGUGGAGGAUCUUUCACAGAAGUAUUUACCCUCUGAAAUGAAGAAAUGGCUAAAGGACCAGACUGUAGGAUGAGAGAAUUUGAUAGUUGGCGGCAAGAAGGUCUAGUUUAUAUAUUUGGACUCCAACUGCAUAUUAUGAAGCACAGACCACACUGCUUUUUUUUUCUUUAAUAAAAUGUAUACCUCAGUGGAUGAGAGACCUCCAAAGAACCUCUGGAAAGAAGACACCAGAAGGUGAUCCUGGGAGCCAUCUCAGCAAUUGCCUCAGAAGCACCCCUGGUGUGGAUUUAAGUGGCUGCACACAAUCAAGUGCUCAAGAAGUGAGUAACUGGUAGGUUGAGCUUUAUGGUGGAAAAUGAGCAUGGAAGACGUUUGCCAGCAAGCACAUUUGAAAGGUGCAGAUGAUGUUACUUAAAGGUG